rnacentral:rRNA from 1 species
CCUAACACAUGCAAGUCGAACGGUAACAGGAAGAAGCUUGCUUCUUUGCUGACGAGUGGCGGACGGGUGAGUAAUGUCUGGGAAACUGCCUGAUGGAGGGGGAUAACUACUGGAAACGGUAGCUAAUACCGCAUAACGUCGCAAGACCAAAGAGGGGGACCUUCGGGCCUCUUGCCAUCGGAUGUGCCCAGAUGGGAUUAGCUGGUAGGUGGGGUAACGGCUCACCUAGGCGACGAUCCCUAGCUGGUCUGAGAGGAUGACCAGCCACACUGGAACUGAGACACGGUCCAGACUCCUACGGGAGGCAGCAGUGGGGAAUAUUGCACAAUGGGCGCAAGCCUGAUGCAGCCAUGCCGCGUGUAUGAAGAAGGCCUUCG